rnacentral:rRNA from 1 species
GGGCUCACACAAGCGGUGGAGGAUGUGGCUUAAUUCGAGGCUACGCGAAGAACCUUAUCCUAGAUUUGACAUGCUUGAGAAUUUCUUCGAAAGAAGAAAGUGCCCCUCGGGGAGCUUUUGCACAGGUGCUGCAUGGCUGUCGUCAGCUCGUGUCGUGAGAUGUCGGGUUAAGUCCCUUAACGAGCGAAAACCCCUUAUCUCUAGUUGCCAGCGGGUAAUGCCGGGGACUCUAGAGAGACUGCCGGUGUCAAACCGGAGGAAGGUGGGGAUGACGUCAAGUCCUCAUGGCCUUUAUGUCUAGGGCUGGCACACGUCCUACAAUGGGGAAUACAGACGGACGCUAAGCCGCGAGGUG